UACGUAGGGGGCAAGCGUUGUCCGGAUUUACUGGGCGUAAAGAGCGUGUAGGCGGCCAAACAGGUCCGUUGUGAAAACUGGAGGCUUAACCUCCAGACGUCGAUGGAAACCGUAUGGCUAGAGUCCGGAAGAGGAGAGUGGAAUUCCUGGUGUAGCGGUGAAAUGCGCAGAUAUCAGGAAGAACACCCGUGGCGAAGGCGGCAUCCUGGACCGGUAUUGACGCUGAGGAGCGAAAGCCAGGGGAGCAAACGGG
rnacentral:rRNA from 1 species